AAACCCUCAAGCUCAGCUUGGUGUUGGGCGUCUGUCCCCCCAAAGGGACUCGCCUCAAAUUCAUUGGCAGCCGGUACGUUGGCUUCGAGCGCAGCAGAAAAGCGCCUGGCGUCUGACGGUACUGGCUCUCCAGUAAGCCUCUUCUCCAA
rnacentral:misc_RNA from 1 species